rnacentral:rRNA from 1 species
AUUGAGCGCUGGCGGCAGGCCUAACACAUGCAAGUCGAGCGGAUGAAGGGAGCUUGCUCCUGGAUUCAGCGGCGGACGGGUGAGUAAUGCCUAGGAAUCGGCCUGGUAGUGGGGGAUAACGUCCGGAAACGGGCGCUAAUACCGCAUACGUCCUGAGGGAGAAAGUGGGGGAUCUUCGGACCUCACGCUAUCAGAUGAGCCUAGGUCGGAUUAGCUAGUUGGUGGGGUAAAGGCCUACCAAGGCGACGAUCCGUAACUGGUCUGAGAGGAUGAUCAGUCACACUGGAACUGAGACACGGUCCAGACUCCUACGGGAGGGAGCAGUGGGGAAUAUUGGACAAUGGGCGAAAGCCUGAUCCAGCCAUGCCGCGUGUGUGAAGAAGGUCUUCGGAUUGUAAAGCACUUUAAGUUGGGAGGAAGGGCAGUAAGUUAAUACCUUGCUGUUUUGACGUUACCAACAGAAUAAGCACCGGCUAACUUCGUG